rnacentral:rRNA from 1 species
GAAGAACCUUACCUGGCCUUGACAUGGUAGGAACCCUUAAGAGAUUAGGGGGUGCUAGCUUGCUAGAACCUACACACAGGUGCUGCACGGCUGUCGUCAGCUCGUGUCGUGAGAUGUUGGGUUAAGUCCCGCAACGAGCGCAACCCUCGUCCUUAGUUGCUAACAGUUCGGCUGAGCACUCUAAGGAGACUGCCUUCGCAAGGAGGAGGAAGGUGAGGACGACGUCAAGUCAUCAUGGCCCUUACGGCCAGGGCUACACACGUGCUACAAUGGGGCGUACAAAGAGCUGCGAUACCGCGAGGUGGAGCCAAUCUCUUAAAGCGUCUCUCAGUUCGGAUUGUUCUCUGCAACUCGAGAACAUGAAGCUGGAAUCACUAGUAAUCGUAGAUCAGCUAUGCUACGGUGAAUACGUUCCCGGGUCUUGUACACA